rnacentral:tRNA from 1 species
CCUAAAAUGACAGAUUAAUGUGUAGGGUUUAAGCCCCUACAAUGAAGAAGUUUCUUCUUUUAGUA